GACGAACGCUGGCGGCGUGCUUAACACAUGCAAGUCGAACGGAAAGGCCCUGCUUUUGUGGGGUGCUCGAGUGGCGAAAGGGUGAGUAACACGUGAGUAACCUGCCCUUGACUUUGGGAUAACUUCAGGAAACUGGGGCGAAUACCGGAUAGGAGCUCCUGCUGCAUGGUGGGGGUGGGAAAGUUUCGGCGGUUGGGGAUGGACUCGCGGCUUAUCAGCUUGUUGGUGGGGUAGUGGCUUACCAAGGCUUGGACGGGUAGCCGGCCUGAGAGGGUGACCGGCCACAUUGGGCCUGAGAUACGGCCCAGACUGCUACGGGAGGCAGCAGUGGAGAAUAUUGCACGAUGGGCGGCAGCCUGAUGCAGCAACGCCGCGUGCGGGAUGACGGCCUUCGGGUUGUAAACCGCUUUCGCCUGUGACGAAGCGUGAGUGACGGUAAUGGGUAAAGAAGCACCGGCUAACUACGUG
rnacentral:rRNA from 1 species